rnacentral:rRNA from 1 species
AUGGCACAACCUAACGUCAACAUCAUAUGUUGGAACGUUCGAGGCCUCAACUCGCGUGCCCGACGGGAUGCCGUUCGGGACAUCGUCCGGGACUCUCAUGCCACCAUUGUCUGCCUCCAAGAGACUAAACUCUAGGCUGUUGAUGACACCAUCAUCCGCGAGAUGCUCGGCCCGUGUUUCGUGAUGAACUACUAUAUCCUCCCGGCCGUCGGAACCCGCGGGGGUUUGAUUCUGGCCGUGUUGGACCACUUCUUCACCCUCUCCGACUUCCAUGUGACUCCGGGCUCCAUCUCCACCACCAUCACCAUGCUCAACGAGCACACUUCAUGGACUAUCACGGGCGUCUAUGGCCCGCAGGGUGAGCAGGACAAGUUGGCCUUCAUUGAGGAGCUUAGUACUCUCAAGACCAUGGCAAGAAUUGAGUGGCUCCUUUUGGGGGAUUUCAACCUCAUCACUAAAGCGGCGGAUAAGAGCAACGCCAACAUCAAUCGUCUCCUGGUGGGAACUUCCGUGGGGCUCUUGAUUUCUUGCAACUAA